rnacentral:rRNA from 1 species
GCGGACUAAUACCGGAUAAAAUCUUUUGGAGGGAUCUGAAAGAUCAAAGGUGGCCUCUCCAUGGAUGCUACUGCCUGAGGAUGAGCCUGCGUCCCAUUAGCUUGUUGGUAGGGUAAUGGCCUACCAAGGCUACGAUGGGUAACUGGUCUGAGAGGAUGAUCAGUCACACUGGAACUGGAACACGGUCCAGACUCCUACGGGAGGCAGCAGUGAGGAAUAUUGCGCAAUGGGGGAAACCCUGACGCAGCAACGCCGCGUGGGUGAAGAAGGCCUUCGGGUCGUAAAGCCCUGUCUAGAGGGAAGAAAUUCUCAAUGGAAUAAUACCCAUUGAGAUUGACGGUACCUCUGGAGGAAGCACCGGCUAACUCCGUGCCAGCAGCCGCGGUAAUACGGAGGGUGCGAGCGUUGUUCGGAAUUACUGGGCGUAAAGCGGGUGUAGGCGGUUUGUUAAGUCAGAUGUGAAAGCCCACGGCUCAACCGUGGAAGUGCAUCUGAAACUGGCUGACUUGAGUACCGGAGAGGGAAGUGGAAUUCCUGGUGUAGGGGUGAAAUCCGUAGAUAUCAGGAGGAACACCGGUGGCGAAGGCGACUUCCUGGACGGAUACUGACGCUGAGAUCCGAAAGCGUGGGGAGCAAACAGGAUUAGAUACCCUGGUAGUCCACGCCCUAAACGAUGGGCACUAGGUGCAGGGGGUGUUGACCCCUCCUGUGCCGCAGCUA